rnacentral:SRP_RNA from 1 species
CCGUGCUAGAUGGGGAGAUGGCGGUGCCCUGUAACCUGCAAUCCGCCAUAGCGGGGUUGAAUUCCCUCUGGAGGUAUGGUUUUGUAAGGUUUGCCUUGUGCAAGUGGUGUUGACAACUGGGUCCUACGCAACAGAAACCCAUGAACUUGGUCAGGUACGGAAGGAAGCAGCCAUAAGUGGAACCUUUUGUGUGCCGUAGACAAGCUUGGUCGAGCUAACUGCAUGAGUAACACUUAUCUGGUCAUAUCGAGAUAGGGUGCACGG